GGGGACGGUUGGCCGGGCGGGGCUGCCUCCCUCGGCUGAGCCCACAGCAGCCCCGCAUCUUGAUGCGGGUGUCGGGCAUGUGUGCCCCCUUAUGUGCUCAUGCAGAUUCCUGGGCCUGAGGAAGGCUUCAGCCCAGGGGAACCCCCAAACCACACUUUGAGAGGUUCUUCUAGGGGCUGGGGUGAACAUGGGAUGAGAGUAGUACAGGGGGGGGACCUGCCACUCACCAGGACCCUUGCCAGCUGCUCCGCCCCCUGAGCAUCUGCCCAGUACUGCCAAGUCUCUGCCAAGAGACUGGCCUUGCGGGAAGCCUGCAGCACAUGGAGUUGGGCCUUGUGGCGCCAGCGCCGCAGACACAGCCACCUGGGGGGAGGCUGGUGUGCUUCCCCAUGGCCUGGAGGGGUCCCAGCCCUGCUCCUGUCAUCACGGGGCACUGACUGGAAGGGGCCCAGCUCUGGCCCUGGCUGGGGUAGCCCCGGGCCCCAGCCUCACCCAGCUGCACCCCCUUGGCAUUGGCGUCACCUUGCGCACUGGCCUCAGAGCCCGCACCUAUCCUGGGUUGGUGAUUGGCAGGGCCCUACCACCCUGUGCAGGCUGCUGCGGCCAGAGUGGGAGGGCAUGGCUGAAGGGAGGCCCUUGGUCACCUGGAAAGGGGUGUCAAGUCGGAAGAGAUGGGGGACUCCUGGAGGGGAGGCUUCUGGAGUUCUCUCCGGGAGGCCCUGGGGCAGGGCAGCCAGUAGCACCCCCUUAAGCUCUGCAUAGCCCCCACCCGCAGCCUCCAGCUGCCUUGGACUGCUGCCCAAAGUGAAGGGAAAAACUUUUUCUCCGAAUGGCUGAAAUAUUUCAGAAGAGGAAGUGGGCGUGGGGAAAACAAGAAAGAAAGAAAAGAAAGCUUUUUCCACGAGAGCUGGACACUGAUUCUCAGGCCCUGCUGGGUGGCGGCCGCCCCCUUCCUCCACUUCAGGACAUUUCUGACCCCGCAGGGGGAGCCUCCUUACUCUGAACCUGGGAUGUUUCCCUGAACUCUUUGUCUGCCCAGACUAUAUCACUGGGCUGGGCUGGGCCAGGCAGCCUGGACGCUGGGGCCUGUGGCCUGCAGUUGUGCUUCUGAGAGAACAGCCAAAGGGGAGACCCCGUGGACAACUGGGGGACUCCUGAGGGAGGGUUAUGUCCCUUGCAACCAGAGGAGCAAGAGGCGGCAUGACGGGGGUCCCCCAUGUGGCAGGAGACCAGCCAUUCUCCUUGCCCAAACCACAGCCGAGCCUCUUGCCUGAGGCUCUGUCUGCCUGGAGCGAGGUCUGAGCCCAACCCAGGGCAGCUCUGCCCGUGGGCUCUCAGAGCCUAGCAGGGGGCAGCCAGUGCCUGUGUGUCCUUAGGUGGGGCCCCCUGGGUACCUGCUUGAUAAAGAGGUCCUGGAAGGGAGCAGCCUGGUGACCAUAAGGUCCCCUAAGCCUCAGCUGCCCCCUCCCCCAAUGCCCCCUGCCUUUACUCAUGGGAUGGGAUGAAAGUCUUAAGCAUAGCUGGCAAAUAAAAUGGACUUAAAAUUCAUUUCUAGAAAUAAAAACACCCUGAGGCCCCA